rnacentral:rRNA from 1 species
UACGGGGGGGGCAAGCGUUGUUCGGAAUUACUGGGCGUAAAGGGCUCGUAGGCGGCCAACUAAGUCAUACGUGAAAUCCCUCGGCUUAACCGGGGAACUGCGUCUGAUACUGGACGGCUUGAGUUCGGGAGAGGGAUGCGGAAUUCCAGGUGUAGCGGUGAAAUGCGUAGAUAUCUGGAGGAACACCGGUGGCGAAGGCGGCAUCCUGGACCGACACUGACACUGAGGAGCGAAAGCCAGGGGAGCAAACGGG